UCAGUGUGAGAGGGGGAGGCUCGGGGAACAGAGCCGGCUUUCCCACAGGAAGGAUGGAAAAUGGCCAGUAGACAAGCGGGCCAAAAGAAGAGACGAGAGGCAGAGCUGGAACCAACCUUGACCACGAACUCGUUCUUUAGUAGAGUGUCUCGACUUAAAAGAGGAAUAAGUGAACCACAGCCAAGUGCCACACAAGACCGAAGGCGUGUUUGUCAAGUUCUAGUGACUCAUGGCUCCGCCCCUUCUGGGGUUUAUUUCCAGUAUCUGCUCCCCUGUUAACAGUGGCAGUGUUGAAGAGAGUGUUGUAGGCAGAGACACCACGGCCCAUAAACCCUGAAAUAUUUCUAUCCGGUUUAAUAAAGAAGAUGUCUUGUG
rnacentral:lncRNA from 1 species